UACGUAGGGUGCAGGCGUUGUCCGGAAUUAUUGGGCGUAAAGAGCUCGUAGGCGGUCUGUCGCGUCUGCUGUGAAAACUCAGGGCUUAACCCUGAGCUUGCAGUGGGUACGGGCAGACUGGAGUGCGGUAGGGGAGACUGGAAUUCCUGGUGUAGCGGUGAAAUGCGCAGAUAUCAGGAGGAACACCGGUGGCGAAGGCGGGUCUCUGGGCCGUAACUGACGCUGAGGAACGAAAGCAUGGGGAGCGAACAGG
rnacentral:rRNA from 1 species